rnacentral:rRNA from 1 species
CACGGGGGUUGCGAGCGUUGUCCGGAAUUACUAGGCGUAAAGGGCAGGCAGGCGGACCCAUAAGUUUAUCGUUUAAGGCGUCGGCUUAACCGGCGUAGGGCGGUAGAUACUGUGGAUCUGGAAUGCGGUUGGGAAAGACAGAAUUCCUGGUGUAGCGGUGGAAUGCGCAGAGAUCAGGAGGAAUACCGAAGGCGAAGGCAGUCUUCCAAGCCGUUAUUGACGCUCAACUGCGAAGGUGUGGGUAUCAAACAGGAUUAGAUACCCGGGUAGUCCCUGAGCGGGCU